UGGUCAAGGGAUGGGAAUCGAACCCACGACCUUCCGCUUACCGGGCAGAUGCCAUGACCACUAGGCUACAUAUGC